rnacentral:rRNA from 1 species
AGCAGUCGCCGCGGGAAUACGGAGGGCGCGAGCGUUACCCGGAUUUACUGGGCGUAAAGGGCGUGUAGGCGGCCUGGGGCGUCCCAUGUGAAAGGCCACGGCUCAACCGUGGAGGAGCGUGGGAUACGCUCAGGCUAGAGGGUGGGAGAGGGUGGUGGAAUUCCCGGAGUAGCGGUGAAAUGCGUAGAUAUCAGUCGGAACACCCAUGGCGAAGGCAGCUGCCUGGCCUAAUACUGACGCUGAGGUGCGAAAGCGUGGGGAGCGAACGGGAUUAGAUACCCCCGUAGUCCCUGUCUCUUAUAC